rnacentral:rRNA from 1 species
UUGUAAUUGCGGUCUUGCAGUCUGGGUGAUUGGUAGGUGUCGUGCUUUGUGCUGGGUUACUGGGCGUCAAGGGUGUGUAGUCGGCUCUCUAAGUUUGGUGUGAUAUCUCCUGGCUCAACCGGGAGGGUGCGCCGAAAUCUGGAUGGUUAGAGUGCGGGAUGUGAGAGGUGAAUUCCCGGUGUAGCGGUGAAAUGCUUAGAUAUCGGGAGGAAUACCGGUGGUGCAGACGGCUCUCUGGACCGCAACUGACGCUGAGACACGAAAGCGUGGGUAGCAAACAGGAUUAGAUACCCUAGUAGUC